AGGAGGUGAGGUGUAAUAUGGCUGACUUGCAAUUAGUUUAUGUGUGAUGUUUGA
rnacentral:tRNA from 1 species